rnacentral:rRNA from 1 species
CCCUUAGAUGUUCUGGGCCGCAUACGCGCUACACUGAAGGAGGCAGCGUGUACUCCUGGAUCGAAAGAUUUGGGUAACCCGCGAAUCUCCUUCGUGCUAGGGAUUGAGGUUUGCAAUUAUCCUUCAUGAACGAGGAAUUCCCAGUAAGUGCAAGUCAUAAGCUUGCGCUGACUACGUCCCUGCCCUUUGUACACACCGCCCGUCGCUACUACCGAUUGAAUGAUUUAGUGAGGACUUCGGACUGGGACCGAUGCGGCUUUCGGGCUGCGUCGGUAUUCUGGAAAGAUGUCCAAACUGUAUCAUUUAGAGGAAGUAAAAGUCGUANCA